GGAGUUGUGGCUCAGAGGUAGAGCGCUUGCCUACAAUUCAUGAGGCACUGAGUUUGAUUCUCAGCACCA
rnacentral:tRNA from 1 species